ACUUAAAUUGAAGAGUUUGAUCAUGGCUCAGAUUGAACGCUGGCGGCAGGCCUAACACAUGCAAGUCGAGCGGUAGCACAGAGAGCUUGCUCUCGGGUGACGAGCGGCGGACGGGUGAGUAAUGUCUGGGAAACUGCCUGAUGGAAGGGGAUAACUACUGGAAACGGUAGCUAAUACCGCAUAAUGUCGCAAGACCAAAGUGGGGGACCUUCGGGCCUCAUGCCAUCAGAUGUGCCCAGAUGGGAUUAGCUAGUAGGUGGGGUAACGGCUCACCUAGGCGACGAUCCCUAGCUGGUCUGAGAGGAUGACCAGCCACACUGGAACUGAGACACGGUCCAGACUCCUACGGGAGGCAGCAGUGGGGAAUAUUGCACAAUGGGCGCAAGCCUGAUGCAGCCAUGCCGCGUGUGUGAAGAAGGCCUUCGGGUUGUAAAGCACUUUCAGCGGGGAGGAAGGCGUUAAGGUUAAUAACCUUGGCGAUUGACGUUACCCGCAGAAGAAGCACCGGCUAACUCCGUGCCAGCAGCCGCGGUAAUACGGAGGGUGCAAGCGUUAAUCGGAAUUACUGGGCGUAAAGCGCACGCAGGCGGUCUGUCAAGUCGGAUGUGAAAUCCCCGGGCUCAACCUGGGAACUGCAUUCGAAACUGGCAGGCUAGAGUCUUGUAGAGGGGGUAGAAUUCCAGGUGUAGCGGUGAAAUGCGUAGAGAUCUGGAGGAAUACCGGUGGCGAAGGCGGCCCCCUGGACAAAGACUGACGCUCAGGUGCGAAAGCGUGGGGAGCAAACAGGAUUAGAUACCCUGGUAGUCCACGCCGUAAACGAUGUCGAUUUGGAGGUUGUGCCCUUGAGGCGUGGCUUCCGGAGCUAACGCGUUAAAUCGACCGCCUGGGGAGUACGGCCGCAAGGUUAAAACUCAAAUGAAUUGACGGGGGCCCGCACAAGCGGUGGAGCAUGUGGUUUAAUUCGAUGCAACGCGAAGAACCUUACCUGGUCUUGACAUCCACAGAACUUUCCAGAGAUGGAUUGGUGCCUUCGGGAACUGUGAGACAGGUGCUGCAUGGCUGUCGUCAGCUCGUGUUGUGAAAUGUUGGGUUAAGUCCCGCAACGAGCGCAACCCUUAUCCUUUGUUGCCAGCGGUUCGGCCGGGAACUCAAAGGAGACUGCCAGUGAUAAACUGGAGGAAGGUGGGGAUGACGUCAAGUCAUCAUGGCCCUUACGACCAGGGCUACACACGUGCUACAAUGGCAUAUACAAAGAGAAGCGACCUCGCGAGAGCAAGCGGACCUCAUAAAGUAUGUCGUAGUCCGGAUUGGAGUCUGCAACUCGACUCCAUGAAGUCGGAAUCGCUAGUAAUCGUAGAUCAGAAUGCUACGGUGAAUACGUUCCCGGGCCUUGUACACACCGCCCGUCACACCAUGGGAGUGGGUUGCAAAAGAAGUAGGUAGCUUAACCUUCGGGAGGGCGCUUACCACUUUGUGAUUCAUGACUGGGGUGAAGUCGUAACAAGGUAACCGUAGGGGAACCUGCGGUUGGAUCACCUCCUUACCUUAAAGAA
rnacentral:rRNA from 1 species